rnacentral:rRNA from 1 species
UACGGAAGGCAGCAGUGGGGAAUAUUGUACAAUGGGCGCAAGCCUGAUGCAGCCAUGCCGCGUGUAUGAAGAAGGCCUUCGGGUUGUAAAGUACUUUCAGUCGUGAGGAAGGUGUUAAGGUUAAUAACCUUAGCAAUUGACGUUAGCGACAGAAGAAGCACCGGCUAACUCCGUGCCAGCAGCCGCGGUAAUACGGAGGGUGCGAGCGUUAAUCGGAAUUACUGGGCGUAAAGGGCACGCAGGCGGUUAAUUAAGUUGGAUGUGAAAUCCCCGGGCUUAACCUGGGAAUGGCAUUCAAGACUGGUUAGCUAGAGUCUUGUAGAGGGGGGUAGAAUUCCAUGUGUAGCGGUGAAAUGCGUAGAGAUGUGGAGGAAUACCGGUGGCGAAGGCGGCCCCUGGACAAAGACUGACGCUCGAUGUGCGAAAGCGUGGGGAGCGAAACAGGGAUUAGGAUACCCG